rnacentral:lncRNA from 1 species
AUUUUGUUUCGCUUUUUGUGCUUCCUUUUAUGUAUCAGAGUGGGACUUCUGUGUUGUAUUGUGGAUCUUUGUGUGUCUGUCUCUGUUGAUUACUUUCAGGUGUGGUGCUGGAAAGGGUGUGGCUCCCAUUGGACCCAAGCUGAUGGAGGGAGCCUUUAAAAGCACUGCACCACGGAAGAUGAAGUAUGGCACACAUUAUCAACCACCAUAUUUGGCUACUCUCCCAACAUCAUUAUAUGCAACAGCAGUUUUACAACUCAGAUACAGCAGUGUGGUCCGACCUAAUGGGGAACAGCAUUGGAGGCGUUGCACUUGGUUCUUAAUAGUGUGUUGGUCUCACAUGCAGACAUGCAGACGUUCUGUGAAUGUGUGCCCAGCUCCUCCCAACUCAAACACCGCUGGUCAGACUCAGAAACUACCAGGGAGACUCCGGCCAAGGUAAGGCCCAGUCUCCACAACAUCCAUGUGCAU